CACCCCCACCCCCACCUCCGAUUCCGAUCUCCCCCGCCUCGCUAACAUCAAAAUCAAAUCCUCUUCCCCCCGUUUCCCACCUCCCACCACCCCUUCCACCACCGAUACCCCCACCGCUGGUGCUCAACGCAAGAUCGGCAUCGCCGUCGAUCUAAGCGACGAGUCCGCUUUCGCCGUUAAGUGGGCCGUCCAUCAGUACCUCCGUCCAGGUGACGCCGUCAUCCUUCUCCACGUCCGUCCCACUUCCGUCCUCUACGGCGCCGAUUGGGGCUCCGUUGAUCUCUCCAUCGUCGAUACCGAAAACGAAGAGUCUCAGCGAAAACUCGAGGAUGAUUUCGACACGUUUACUACUACUAAAGUCUCGGACAUAUCUCAGCCGUUAGUUGAUGCUCAGAUUCCGUUCAAAAUCCACAUCGUUAAGGAUCACGAUAUGAGGGAAAGGCUAUGUCUCGAGGUGGAGAGGCUAGGGCUUAGCGCUGUAAUUAUGGGUAGCCGAGGUUUUGGGGCUACUAAGAGAGGAAGCGAUGGAAGACUGGGAAGUGUUAGUGAUUAUUGUGUGAGGCACUGUGUUUGUCCUGUUGUGGUUGUUAGGUACCCGGAUGAUAAGGAUAGUGGUGCAAAUGCAGUUUCUGAGCCCGUGGUUUCUGUUGCAUCAGCUGCUGAAGAAGAUGAGGAGGAAGCUGAGUACCAUGA
rnacentral:lncRNA from 1 species